UACGUAGGGGGCAAGCGUUGUCCGGAUUUAUUGGGCGUAAAGAGCGUGUAGGCGGCCAGACAGGUCCGUUGUGAAAACUCGAGGCUCAACCUCGAGACGUCGAUGGAAACCGUCUGGCUAGAGUCCGGAAGAGGAGAGUGGAAUUCCUGGUGUAGAGGUGAAAAUUCGUAGAUAUCGGGAGGAACACCAGUGGCGAAGGCGGCUCACUGGCCCGGUACUGACGCUGAGGUGCGAAAGCGUGGGGAGCAAACAGGAUUAGAAACCCUGGAUACGUC
rnacentral:rRNA from 1 species